rnacentral:rRNA from 1 species
UACGGAGGAUGCAAGCGUUAUCCGGAAUGAUUGGGCGUAAAGGGUCCGCAGGUGGCGAUGAAAGUCUGCUGUUAAAGAGUCUAGCUCAACUAGAUAAAAGCAGUGGAAACUACAGAGCUAGAGUGCGUUCGGGGCAGAGGGAAUUCCUGGUGUAGCGGUGAAAUGCGUAGAUAUCAGGAAGAACACCGGUGGCGAAGGCGCUCUGCUAGGCCGCAACUGACACUGAGGGACGAAAGCUAGGGGAGCGAAUGGG